UUCAUGAAUUUUUAGAUCAUCAAUAUCAAAUCCUUGUAGUAUGUUUCAGAAUUUAAAUAGCAAUGAAAGAAAACUAAUUUUAUAUUCCCUCUGUUUAUUAAAAAGUGUUAUUUUGACUCUUCACUUUAAUUUAUGCAUGGACAUUUGAUCCAGAUCCGAAGAUCUGAUACAAAACCAAUCCAAAAAAUUUCGGUUUGGAUAGGAACUGAACCGAUCUUUUUAUUCUAUUGAGUCUUGUUGUGGAAGACCUGCGGGUCUUGGACCGAUCCGACCCAAACCCGAGAUCCGAUGGGAUAUCCGGAAUACCCGACUUCAGGUAUCUAUUAGGUAUAUAUGGGUGUUUCAAUAUAUUUUUGGUAUUAUGGGUAUUUUUUUAAGUUUUGGAUUUGAGUUUUUGGGUAUAGUUUUAGGUUUCGGGUAAACUUUAGAUUUUCAAAAUAAUUCGGAUAAUCAAAUAAAAUUUUGGGUAUUUUCAUGUCUUCGGUCAGAUUUUAGAUAAAAUAUUAGAUAUUUUUCAAGUAUUUAAAUAUUUUCAAGUAUUUUUGUGUGUUUCGGAUAUUUUUUGGACUGGACCCGAAUCGAACCCGAUCUAGAACCAAACCAAACCCAAAAUAAAAAAUUCUAAUUACCCUAUUAGGUCUAACUAUCUAAGAUCAUAAUCGAUCCGGACCCGACAUGAUCCGAACCGAACCCGACUUAGCAAAUUUUAAUUAUCCUAAUAGAUCUUAAUAUCUAAGACUCGAAAGACCCGGAUCCGACGAGAUCCGAACCCGAGGACCCUAGUGGCCCUGCCUACUUUAAUUAAGAAAACUAGAUUUUGACCCGCGCUUAAAAGCGCGGGUUUGGUUUUGUUUUGCUUUUCUUAAUUAUGAAAUUUAGUGUUUAAAUCAUAUAAUCUUAAAGAUUAUUUCACUAAUGAAAAUUUAGUGUUUGAAUCAUAUAAUCUUGUAUAAAGUUUUUAUGUAGUGUAGUGUCUUACAUGUAACAUGUCUUGUAGUCGAUGGUAGUAUGUAAGGGAAAUGAAUAUUUCAUUAACGUAACAGUUAUAAUAGGUUGUGUUUUGGUUUUGGUUCAUGUAAUGUGUUUUGUUUGGGUAUGAUGGUUUAGCAAUCGGUUUUAGUGGUUAUAUAUAAAUAAUAAUGUAUACAGUUCGCAUGGUUAUAGUAAUAAUCGGGGGUUUAUUGGGUAAAAAAGGUUGUCAAUUAUUGUUAUAAUAUACAGGGUAAGUCCAAAAAAAUUUAAAAGUAAUAGGUCCAAACAACUUUUAUAGGUAGAUCUUUUCAAAAUUCUUCCCCGAGUAAAAUUCAUUUGUAUCUUUAAUAACUACAAUUAGUAAUAUCUAUAGAGAAAAAUUAACUAUAGUAAUCAAGGUUAGAACAUAAAUUUUGGAUAAAAGUUGCAUUGAAUUUCGAGAAUAACAUUUUUCUGUAAUAAGAAAAAAUGUCAAGGUGACAGUGACAGUUUUUAUAAGCAGGAGGAAGUAUGUAUCAUGUAUUAAGAUUAUAAUAUCAUAAUAAUUGAAUUAUCAUUAUUGCAUAUCAAUUUAUAAUUAUUGAGUAUCAUCUUCAUAUCUGAGCUGAUUAGGAAACUACAUUUAACUGUGGUCUUAGUAUAUGUAAUACACAAUUGUUUAUGAAAAUAACACAGAAAAUGAAAUGAUCAUUAUGUUCACAACAUUAUGGCAGACUUAUUCUAGCCUGGAAAGAAUAUCCGUCACAAUUUCAAAAUUUUUAAUACUUGAAAGAAAAAGAAGAGAAAAUCUGAUUCAUUUCAGUACAAUCAAUCAAUUAUUGCCGUAAGAUGCUGAGAUUGUCGACGUCGAACUUGACAAAUUUAUUAUAGAAACUAGGGUCGGCCCGCCCUACGGGCGGGAUGCAUAUUCGAAAAUAAUUGAAAUAGUUUGAAUAAAUAAUUAUUUUAAUUUUUAUUAGUUAAAAAUAUAAAUAGUAGUUAAAUUAUGUACUUUUUUAAAGUCUAAAUAAACUAUGAUAUUUUGAUAAUUAGUUAAGUAUUCUUUUUUUUUUGAAGUGGCAUUACAUCAGUUCUAGCCGAAAAUAAAGUAAGGACAAUUUUAAAGUUGAGGUUAGUCUUUGACAUUCAUAUUUUUAUGUAUAGAGAGCAAAGGUAUACAUGCAAGUCUUUGUUUUGAUUAUUUGGAUCCAUUGUUGCAUAACUAUGUUUUCUAUUUUUCUCAAUCGACUUAGCCAUUCUACUAAUCUGGUAUUUUGUUUUAAGUUAAAAAUUAUUUGUUUUUCUCAUUUUCAUCAAAUUAAAUAAAACAUGAUUUUUAUUGGUAAAUAUUUGUUCUAGAAAUAUAUUUAUAAAAUAAAAAAUAUUAUAUUUUAAAGUUAGUGUAAGGAAUAUAUAUUUAUGUUUAAAUGAAUCUGAUUUCUAAUCAUAUAAACUAAUUUUUAUCUAGGAUAAAUAUAGUUAUAUUGUUUUUGUAUAAAACCAAAUAAACCGAAAACCGAUAGUAUAUAAACCGAAACAAACCAAAUUAGAUAUGAAUCCAAUAUGGUAGUUAAUUUUUAUAAACCAAAAUACCAAAAAAAAAACUAAAAAAAAUGAACCGAAAUCAGACAGGAAUCGGAAUGAACAUGCCUAGAUAGAGGUAUUAGAAGGAAGCACUGUUUUAACAGCCCAAUCAGUAGAUAUAAAUAUUAAAUUAGUAAUAAUUAGAUUAAAUAAAGACCCAGAUAUGAAAAGAUGUGGAGAGGAAAAAGGUUUUUUUGUUUUUUUGUUAACAAAAGGGAAAGCAACGAAUCGCCUUUUUAUACUAUUAGUCCUUUGAACAAAAAAAAAAAUACUAUUAGUCCUUUCCUUCCCCCAUAUGCACUAUCCUAUCCUGUUGAAUUAUAUUAUUGUUUUGUUUGACGAUAGAAACACGGACAUGAAGAAAAAAAAUAUAACUGGACUUAUACAAAGAUUAUGGGUUUUCUUUGAGGCAGCCCAAUAAUGAAUUAAAAGACCCAUUAAUCUAUCACUUAGAAGUGAGGCCUAUUUACGGCCACAAAACCCUAGCUCCAUCAUAUCCCAAUGUAUAAAUAAGAAACACUUUCAGCUGAUUCUCGCUCUGUAAUUUACUUUUUUUUUUAUAUGUUUAUAAUCUUUUUUUCCCUUGAUUAGAUUCGCUUUUAAGAGUGGUUAUACUGUAGAAUUUUUUAUAGCUUCUUAGAUUGAGAGGCGAUAAAUUUUAGCAGGGGCGUUGAGUCGCUUUGCCUAUGUGAAUCAUGCGUAUCCAAUAAGCUCCUGCUAGAUUUUAUAUCUAUUCGUUCUUUUUUCUUUUUUUUUUUUGCAUGUUUCUAUAAGGAUCCAAUGAUGGCAUGAAAUCUUUGAGACCUGAUUUUUAUUGAUGAAACGCUGUAAGCAUUUUUACUCUGAGGAUCCUUAAUAUUUGUUUACACAUUUGUUUUCAUGUUAAUAAUCCUAAUUAGAAAAGGUGAUGAAUUUGAUCAAAAAAAAAAAAGCGAAGGUGAUGAAUAUGCACUGGGCUCUGAGUUGUUGAUUGACAUUCAACUUCUUUUUGAUGCAUAACGCAGCCUAGAAAGCUUAAUCUGAUUUUCAGUUGUUUCAUUAUAUAAUCGUCCGUUUUGCUUUCUUUUUGUGUGUUUCUUGGUUAAACAUAGUAACAACAAAAUUUAGAAGUAAUUUGUGCACAGCUGUAACUUCUCUGUCGUUUGCUAUUCAAUAAAUAUUUUUCCAUCUCCACGCUUAUGUAGCUUUCUCUGAAUUUUCUGCAUCUUAGAACUUCCAAUUACUCUCUCAUCUAGAACUAAAAUCUUAACUCACCCAUUUCAGCUUUCUACUUCCACACCCCUCACUCGAAAACAACUAAGAUUAUGUCUUUCUCUCUCUUUAACAACUAUUUUAUUCUUAACCUUUUUUUCUUUUUUUCCCCUUCAAGCUUUUACCAUCUCUGUUUUUGUAUAGAGAAAUAUAUCACUUUACAAAAUUUUAAAACAUUUUUUUCCUGAAAAAAAUCUAUCCCUAUACUGAUCUCCUAAGAAGAACCCGUACCUUCGAUGGCAUGACUUGCAGAGACGACGAUGUUUCUUCAAUUGAUCUCAGUUCCAUGUCGAUUGUGUUUAUUCACCGACUGUGUGAAAAUAGGAUGCAAUGAAUGUUAAUUUGGAGGUUAAUGAGAAUGAUUGAAUGCAUAUGAGAUCUGUAACGUUUCCGAUUUUGGAAAGCAAGUAAGAAGCCACACGAACCGGCACUGAAGGCGGUUUCCACCAGAGAUUUCCUGGGUUUCCAACCCUCGUAACCCAGCCGGAGAUCCAUUGUUAACCCUAGACGGCCGUUCUUCGAUAGUCUCUAAUCACCCACUUAACCAAUACUCUUUAGCCCAAACCUUGUAUUAGAAGCCCACAGCCUAUAUUUUUAAGUCUAAAGCAAUUCUUGGUAUGAAAGCCCAUCUAUAACAAUAUAACAUCAUCGAUGAAAGAACAAUUUGAUAUUUCAAACCGA